CAGACAUAUAGGAAUAUAAACACCCAUGGAC
rnacentral:piRNA from 1 species